CUACGGGGGGCACCAGUGGGGAAUAUUGCACAAUGGGCGCAAGCCUGAUGCAGCCAUGCCGCGUGUAUGAAGAAGGCCUUCGGGUUGUAAAGUACUUUCAGCGGGGAGGAAGGGAGUAAAGUUAAUACCUUUGCUCAUUGACGUUACCCGCAGAAGAAGCACCGGCUAACUCCGUGCCAGCAGCCGCGGUAAUACGGAGGGUGCAAGCGUUAAUCGGAAUUACUGGGCGUAAAGCGCACGCAGGCGGUUGGUUAAGUCAGAUGUGAAAUCCCCGGGCUCAACUUGGGAACUGCAUCUGAUACUGGCAAGCUUGAGUCUCGUAGAGGGGGGUAGAAUUCCAGGUGUAGCGUUGAAAUGCGUAGAGAUCUGGAGGAAUACCGGUGGCGAAGGCGGCCCCCUGGACGAAGACUGACGCUCAGGUGCGAAAGCGUGGGGAGCAAACAGGAUUAGAUACCCCGGUAGUC
rnacentral:rRNA from 1 species